CAGAUCACAGAACAUGCCCAGAGCCUUGUGUUGGAUACUCUCUGUUGGUUAGCUGGAGUUCAUUCAAAUGGACCCGGAAGCUCAAAGGAAGGAAAUGAGAACCUACUUUCAAAAACACGAAAAUUUCUGUCAGACAUCGUACGUGUUUGCUUCUUUGAGGCAGGACGAAGUAUAGCCCAUAAGUGUGCCCGAUUUCUAGCCUUGUGCAUUAGUAAUGGCAAAUGUGACCCAUGUCAACCAGCAUUUGGACCUGUUCUGUUGAAGGCUUUACUUGAUAAUAUGUCAUUUUUACCUGCAGCAACAACUGGUGGUUCUGUCUAUUGGUAUUUUGUCUUACUGAAUUAUGUGAAAGAUGAAGAUCUGGCUGGAUGCAGUACAGCUUGUGCAUCUUUGCUUACUGCAGUGUCCAGACAGUUACAGGACAGGCUAACACCAAUGGAGGCUUUACUUCAGACAAGAUAUGGAUUAUAUAGCUCACCAUUUGAUCCAGUCCUCUUUGAUUUGGAGAUGAGUGGCUCUUCUUGUAAAAAUGUUUAUAACAGCAGCAUUGGUGUCCAGUCAGAUGAAAUUGAUUUAUCAGAUGUCCUUUCAGGAAAUGGAAAGGUCAGUAGUUGCACAGCUGCUGAGGGUAGUUUCACAUCUCUCACUGGACUUUUGGAAGUUGAACCUCUGCACUUUACUUGUGUGUCAACUAGUGAUGGAACCAGAAUAGAAAGGGAUGAUGCAAGUACGUUUACUGUGAGUUCCUUCGGGGUUACUCCUGCAGUAGGUGGACUAUCAUCUGGGACAGUUGGGGAAGCCUCGACAGCCCUGAGUUCAGCAGCCCAGGUAGCUUUGCAGUCUCUCUCUCAUGCAAUGGCUUCAGCCGAGCAACAGCUACAGGUGCUGCAAGAGAAACAGCAGCAGCUUUUGAAGCUUCAGCAACAGAAAGCAAAGCUGGAAGCCAAGUUACAUCAGACAACAGCUGCAGCAGCUGCAGCAGCAUCAGCAGUAGGUCCUGUUCACAACUCUGUGCCUUCCAACCCAGUGGCUGCCCCUGGAUUCUUCAUUCAUCCAUCUGAUGUUAUUCCACCCACUCCAAAAACAACACCUCUUUUUAUGACUCCACCACUCACUCCACCCAAUGAAGCAGUUUCCGUUGUGAUUAAUGCCGAACUUGCACAGCUUUUCCCAGGCUCAGUCAUUGAUCCCCCAGCAGUCAAUCUUGCUGCACAUAACAAAAAUUCCAACAAGUCCAGAAUGAAUCCACUUGGUUCUGGUCUAGCCCUUGCAAUUUCUCAUGCUUCACAUUUUCUUCAACCUCCGCCUCACCAGUCCAUUAUUAUAGAGCGAAUGCAUUCAGGAGCAAGAAGAUUUGUGACCUUGGAUUUUGGGAGGCCUAUAUUGUUGACUGAUGUAUUGAUUCCCACUUGUGGAGACUUGGCCUCUUUGUCAAUUGACAUUUGGACAUUAGGAGAAGAGGUGGAUGGAAGGCGGUUGGUAGUGGCAACUGAUAUAAGCACUCAUUCACUAAUUCUUCAUGACUUAAUACCACCUCCCGUGUGCAGAUUCAUGAAGAUCACUGUUAUUGGACGUUACGGGAGUACAAAUGCCAGAGCCAAAAUCCCAUUAGGAUUUUACUAUGGUCAUACCUACAUCUUGCCUUGGGAAAGUGAACUGAAGUUAAUGCAUGAUCCUCUAAAGGGAGAGGGAGAAUCUGCAAACCAGCCAGAAAUUGACCAGCAUUUAGCAAUGAUGGUUGCUUUGCAGGAGGAUAUACAGUGCAGGUAUAACUUGGCUUGUCAUCGUCUGGAAACCCUUUUGCAAAGUAUUGAUCUUCCUCCUCUAAACAGUGCUAACAAUGCACAGUACUUUUUACGAAAACCAGAUAAGGCAGUUGAGGAAGACAGUAGGGUUUUUUCUGCUUAUCAAGAUUGUAUUCAGCUACAGCUUCAACUAAAUUUGGCUCAUAAUGCAGUGCAGAGGCUCAAAGUGGCGCUAGGUGCAAGCCGGAAGAUGUUGAGUGAAACAUCAAAUCCAGAAGAUUUAAUUCAGACAUCUUCCACAGAGCAGUUACGUACUAUCAUCAGAUAUUUACUGGACACUUUGCUCAGCCUGCUUCAUGCUUCUAAUGGACACUCUGUUCCUGCAGUUUUGCAGAGCACAUUUCAUGCCCAGGCCUGUGAAGAGCUCUUUAAACACUUGUGCAUCAGUGGAACCCC
rnacentral:lncRNA from 1 species